rnacentral:lncRNA from 1 species
UAGCAGACAAAGGACUUUCGGGCUGAUGAAGAAUGAUACUUCAGACAUGAACAAGGCAACCAAGCGACCUCCACGUUAUUCGGCGUCGUACGAGUCGACACCAGACACCCUAGAGUCGCUCCACAAAAUACAAGACGGUGUCGAACGACGUCAACCCAUACAACGUCGGACACCCCGAGGUCGUUCCGUAAAACUCAGGACGGCGCCAUACAAUACCGACCCGUACGGGUCAAUCAGUUGCAGGGUACAAGUCAUCCUCCCGAGGAGUCGAUGAUCAUUAAAGGACUGCGUACGACUGACCACCCUACCACAGGUAUAAAAGCUAACUCUCUUACCAAUAAGAGGGAACUUCGAACACUCGACUCUCUCUCAUUCCACCAAAAGCUAACUUAAGCUUCGGAGAGGUCUAAGUCAGGAAAUCCCCCUCUCGACCUUGACCUAUAUGCAGGAGUCCAGUGACGGAGAAGCAAAUCACUCACCAAGAGAGAAGACCGUACUCGGGGGACGAGGCUCGAACCCAACCCGAUGCUCACCCUCAUCACCCAAGCAUCCACGUGGGCAACCUUAUACAUCCGAGACUGGAUCGAGCCGUGUUAACACCUCGAUCACGGCGUAAAAGUUCACCUACAAUAACCAAACUUGAAUAACAUAUUUGUUGACUUCGCCGAUCUAAUCAACUUCAACCCGCAAUGUUUCAUACCAGCUGCUAAAAUAUAAUCAACCGUUCCGAUAUCUGCAAAAUAUGAGAAAGAAAUUACAUGAGACAGGAAGCUGCAGCCAAUUAAUGAAUAUGACCACAGUGCUAAGAGAGGAUUUGGAGAAUGAAAAAUCUCUGUUCCGAGACACUUGCCCAUGCUUCAUUCCACUGGCACUCUUAAUGCUCACCUUUACCUAAUAUAUGUCUCGACUUUUAACAUCUUAAAUGACAAUCUAUAAUAUAGAGUCUCUUCCUGGGCAGCGGUUCAUCAUCCCCACUCUCAAACUGCUGGUUCACCUGCCCCAAAAGCAGGUUACUAAAGUGAGAUAGAUGUCCACCAUUUUUGCCUCUCCGACGUAAAGGCAGUGUAUCUGGUCUAAUUAUUGUCCCUAAAAUGCUCCUUCGUGGGUCCAACCGUGAGAUGGCUUUCACAUGCGUUGAUGCAGAAAAGCCAUUGCAGAAGCAGACUUAACCUGUAGCAUCUAAAAUGUUAGAAAGUUUAGCUUCGAGUUCGUGAUUAGAAAAUGAAGUUACAUAGGCAGCAGUUUAAUACUUCAGAAAAAAUGGACAGUAAUGCAGAGAAACAAGGCUCAUGGACCAACACAGAGAACCGACAUAUCACAGAACAGAAUAAUAUGAUGAUAGAAAAUAAGUGCUCUGUUGAAAUUAUAUUCAACCAUACAAUGAGAAGGCAUUUGAAAUGUUCACAAACACCAAAAUUGUUAGAAUUUAGCGACUCAGCAGCACAUCCUGCAUUAAUUAUGAUAUAGCAACAUAAUUAUAACCAUGCAUGGAAAACUCUAAACAAAUGUCAAAAUGCUCUAAUGCAAUUAAAGAUGUAUACUUUGUUAUUGCAUAUACUCUAUCAGAAAUUAGGCAACCACCCUCCAAGGUGGAAGUUCCAACUAAGCCACAUCAGAAAUUUCUUAAAAGUACAGUUAUCUGACCAUCAUGACAUGACACACCACAGAUCAGGAAAACCCUCAAUGCAUCGUUCCAUGUCCUAAAGCAAUAUAAAAUAAAGCGCGCAAUGCUUUAGGUGCUCAGAGCCACAAAAACCAAGUUAAGCCUCAGUAUGCAUAUUAUUUUGUCUAUCGGAAACAUUGUCAUUCAUUUGGACUUUAGGGUAGCAGAUGUUAGUUACCUGUGACAUUGUAGAUUUCCCAUUUAUAUGUACAGCCAAAUAUCAAGAAUCAUCGUCAAACGGCCAUUCAGGUUGUAAGUACUUGGAAAUGUGUGCCGUUUGGAAGCCUGCUGAUAAGGGUGUUGGAGUAGCCCGGAGGCACCGGACUAACUUGACCAUCAGGUGAUGUGCGCUAAGGUCACACAUUCCCCAAUAAAUGUGGAGCCAUACAGCACUGAAUGAAGAUCUUAAUGGAACUCAUGGCACUCCAUUUUACAUGUUUUAGUCUCACCAUAUUUGAUCUCAAAUAAACCUGAGACCGCUAUUGACAUUGUUGACUACAGUGCAAAAGCAACCGAAAGGAACAAAGAAGACCUCACCUGCCUUAGAUUGAUGUGAAACUAUGUCAAGCUUUGUACUUAGUAGUAUUGAUUGUGCAAAGCAAAUUUCCACAUGAAUAUUAGUGUCUCAAACAUUAAUAAAAAGUGUGGUCAUUUGGAAGACCUCAAUGAAAAAUAUGUGGUGGCACUAGGGUUUGCCCUAAUUGUCCAAAGCAUAGAUGAGCGAUUAACAAAGAACUACCUAAGUGAACCAGGUAAAAUGUGUUGCAAAAACACAGACCUAGAGCUGCAAGUGCAAGUGCAAGCUUCUCAAAAUGCAGCACAAAAAUUACAUAAAUGUAUCAAAUUUUGCAGCAGAGAAAAAUUAUGUUGAUAGGCUGAAGCACAGAAAGCUUACCUUACAAUAGUUGCAAGAGUUCCUCCUGAUGUCAUUGUCUGGUGCCUAGUUCAUUUUUAAUGAAUUCAAAUAAAAUAAAUAUUCAUUAAAUACAAUUCACCUGACCAAGCUAAAACUAUAUCUGAGCAGAUAUGGUUUCUGAGUUUCGAAUUCCAUGUAUAAGAUGAGGACAAAAGACUAGCAAGCAUUAUACAACGCAAUAGGAUCAAGCAAGAACACAUGGAAAUGAACGAUACUGAACCCCCUAACAUAAAUUGAUUUUGCAGAAAGAAAUUCAUUAUACCCUUUUAUCACUCUGGACCUGUUCCAAAUCUUAAAAGUGAGGUUGUUCCUCCGGAGUUGGAGUGGUGAAGUCAGAAAAAUCAAUUAUUUCUGCAGCAAUCGCAACACGUUCGAAUGAUAUCACCAUUUGCAGGGGCAGAUUUUGCAUGCAUAGUGGUCAGUAAAGUAAUAAAAAAUCCAUAUCAGAUGAUGACAAGAAAAAUAACCAUAAAUGUGAAAGAAAGUCGAUGAGUACACUAGAAAAAUAGAUGUCUCAAUCGACCUACUCGAUAGAUUGAUUCGGAUUGAAAGACCGUAGAUGCACAAGACCUAAACCCACAAUAAACGGAACACCAUCUCACGGUCAGCUCCCCACAUCUCUAAGAAGAAAUCAGUAAUCAUGAUUAAGAUAGAUUAAAAAACAUUAAGAACAAAUUGGAAUCAACACAAAGCACAACCCGAUCGAUCUUCUGAUAGAUAGAUAGUUUAACCUUUUGGGGCCGGAUCAUGCGGCUCCCGGCCGCGGGGAACGUGGCGGCGACGGGGUCCCAAGGGGGCCGAGGAUCUCGUCGAGGGAGAGGUAAUCGCUGGCGGGAAUCUCGGCAGCGGAGAAGGCGAGGAAGCGGAAGGUGUCACACAAGAAGCCCUCCUCCGGGCGAUGGGAGAGGGGUCUGGCGCGCCGAGGCCGUGGGAGGAAGGACUUCGGCGGCCUCGUCGUUCUGCCACCGAUGACCAAGUGGAUCGUCUUCACCAGAUCGAGCCGACCGUGAAGGGUCGGACUGGACCACGGUUCGAGUCGGGUGGUCUCCGGUUCGCAAGAUUUAAUCGAAGCAAAUGGCACGUUAGUCUCGCGUC